rnacentral:rRNA from 1 species
GACGAACGCUAGCGGCGUGCCUAAGAAAUGCAAGUCGAGCGGAGUUAGAGAGCUUGCUCUCGAAGCUUAGCGGCGAACGGUCGCGUAACACGUAAGGAACCUGCCCUAAAGUGUGGGAUAGCCCUCCGAAAGGGGGAUUAAUACCUCAUGUGGACAUUUUCUCGCAUGUGAGAAUGUCUAAAGCAGCAAUGCGCUUUAGGAUGGCCUUGCGGCCUAUCAGCUAGUUGGUGGGGUAAUGGCCUACCAAGGCGACGACGGGUAGCUGGUCUGAGAGGAUGAUCAGCCGGACUGGGACUGAGAUACGGCCCAGACUCCUACGGGGGGCAGCAAUUAGGAAUCUUGCGCAAUGGGCGAAAGCCUGACGCAGCGACGCCGCGUGACUGAUGAAGUCUUUCGGGAUGUAAAGGUCUUUUCUGUGGGAAGAAGGAUGUGACGGUACCACAGGAAUAAGCCCCGGCUAACUACGUGCCAGCAGCCGCGGUAAGUCUCGCG